GCAUAUCAAUAAGCGGAGGAAAAGAAACCAACCGGGAUUGCCUCAGUAACGGCGAGUGAAGCGGCAAGAGCUCAAAUUUGAAAGCUGGCUCCUUCGGAGUCCGCAUUGUAAUUUGCAGAGGAUGCUUUGGGUGCGGCCCCCGUCUAAGUGCCCUGGAACGGGCCGUCAGAGAGGGUGAGAAUCCCGUCUUGGGCGGGGUGUCCGUGCCCGUGUAAAGCUCCUUCGACGAGUCGAGUUGUUUGGGAAUGCAGCUCUAAAUGGGUGGUAAAUUUCAUCUAAAGCUAAAUACUGGCCGGAGACCGAUAGCGCACAAGUAGAGUGAUCGAAAGAUGAAAAGCACUUUGAAAAGAGAGUUAAACAGCACGUGAAAUUGUUGAAAGGGAAGCGCUUGCGACCAGACUCGCCCGCGGGGUUCAGCCGGCAUUCGUGCCGGUGUACUUCCCCGUGGGCGGGCCAGCGUCGGUUUGGGCGGCCGGUCAAAGGCCCCUGGAAUGUAGUGCCCUCCGGGGCACCUUAUAGCCAGGGGUGCAAUGCGGCCAGCCUGGACCGAGGAACGCGCUUCGGCACGGACGCUGGCAUAAUGGUCGUAAACGACCCGUCUUGAAACACGGACCAAGGAGUCUAACAUCUACGCGAGUGUUCGGGUGUCAAACCCGUGCGCGCAGUGAAAGCGAACGGAGGUGGGAGCCCCCUUGCGGGGCGCACCAUCGACCGAUCCUGAUGUCUUCGGAUGGAUUUGAGUAAGAGCGUAGCUGUGGGGACCCGAAAGAUGGUGAACUAUGCCUGAAUAGGGCGAAGCCAGAGGAAACUCUGGUGGAGGCUCGCAGCGGUUCUGACGUGCAAAUCGAUCGUCAAAUUUGGGUAUAGGGGCGAAAGACUAAUCGAACCAUCUAGUAGCUGGUUCCUGCCGA
rnacentral:rRNA from 1 species